rnacentral:rRNA from 1 species
UAAGACGAGCUCUCCAAACGUUAUUCGGUAUCACUGGGCUUAAAGAGUUCGUAGGCGGCUUUGUAGGUGAGGUGUGAAAGCCCUCGGCUUAACCGAGGAAUUGCGCUUCAAACCGCAGAGCUAGAGGGAGACAGGGGUGAGCGGAACAGAUGGUGGAGCGGUGAAAUGCGUUGAUAUCAUCUGGAACACCGGUGGCGAAAGCGGCUCACUGGGUCUUUUCUGACGCUGAGGAACGAAAGCUAGGGGAGCGAACGGGAUUAGAUACCCCGGUAGUCCUAGCCGUAAACGAUGAGCACUAGUCUGUGGGGACCCUCACAUCCUCUCGGACGUAGCGAAAGUGUUAAGUGCUCCGCCUGGGGAGUAUGGUCGCAAGGCUG